UGCGGUGUCUUAGACUCUUUAUCUCUAUCAAUUAUUAGAAAUUAUGAGGUUAAAUUACAUAUAUAUAUAUAUCCAUAUUAAUAUGUUAUAUAUGCCUUGUGCACAACAAAUAACAAAAUUUUUUAACGCAAAGAACAUUCCGAAAAUUCAACGUCGUUAAUUUUCACUUUAAUUUAUUCAACGUUAUAAGCUUUUUUAUAUUGUUUUAUUAAGUUAUACCCGAAACUCGCCUAACUCGUCGAAAAUACGUGGUACGAACCUGAUACGAAAGCCACAGUAUGUGUAAGCAUAGCUUUUGUACAUAAGAUUGAAAAAUAUUGUAUUGAACUAUUUAAUUGUAUUGUUACACGAACCUUUAAUAAAUAUAAAUAUUAUUGUCUUCUACGUACUUUGUGGUGAUCGUCGAGUAAAGAUAGAAAAGGAUCGUAGGUGUAAAAAAAAGGACAGCUUUUUUUUUUUUUUUUUCUUUUUUUUUUCCUUUUUGUAUAUAGAUUUUAUUGAUGAUUUGUUAAUAUCCGUUGAUAAAGUUAUUUAUGUACAAAAUAACGCUGGAAUAUCCCUAUAUAAUAUUAUAUUUAAUGAUCUACGUUUUAUGGCCCAGGGGUCUCGAGAAAGCCCACACCAUUAUAUACCCGCUCGAGCUUCUUCGCAUUUUUACGAGCCACGACUACGCAUUUCCGCCUUUAUAUAUAUAUAUAUAUAUAUAUAUAUUUCUUCGCGUUGAAAUACGGAGCGCCGCUAUUGUUUUAUUUGUUUAUUUAUUCAAUAUUUUUUUUCUUUCUUUUUUCUUUUUGUUUUUUUUUGCGCGAUCGCAUUUCACAUCGCCUUCUUUUCCCGUUCUCGCUCGCACUAUAUACAAAUCUCUCGAUCGGUCAUUUUUAUUUUUAUUUUUUUGCUUUUGUUACUGAAUUUUUUUUUUCUUUUUUCUUUUUUUUUUCUUUUUUCUUUGUUCCAGAGCGUCGCAGGGACAGGAGGGAGAGAGGAAAGUUUGGAAAGGGGCAUAGUGCUAAUAUAAUAUUGAAGAAGAACGCGGAUCAUUUUCCUACGACAUACAUUCGCAUAUAUAUAUAUAUAUAUAUUGUAUAUAUACAUACGUACAUACGUAAGUACAUAUAUAUAUAUAUAUAUAUAUAAAGUUUGAAAAGUAAGGCCGAGGAAGUGUGAUUACGCUCUUUCUUAAUUAAUUAAUUAUAGUACACGCGCAUCUUUUUUUUUCCUUUUUGUUAUUUAUUAUAUAUACGAUUCCUAUGGUUCUUCUUAUAUUUUUUUUUUCUUUCUUUCUUAAUAAAGAUCCAAUAAGAUAAGGGAGAAAAUCGAGUAUAGGCAGACGUAUGAUCUCUUAUAGGUCAUUACCUCGAUAUACAUAAUAUAUUUACAUACGGAUUAGUUGUUGAUUGGCUCGUCGGCUCGUCUAGUUUUGUCGCGCCUACGAGAAAACGCACUGACGUUGGCAUACAUUAUUAAUCAAUGUCCAUUUGAAAUAGACAACUCGAUUCGUGGAAAAAUUUACACAUGAAAUGAAUAAAUAAAAUCGUCUGUGGUCCGACGUUUAUCGUGGAAUAUCAUUAUCGACGUAAUAUUUUAUUAUUUACUUGGUUAUUUUUUUCGCGUGAAAGAGAAAAAAAAAUUCCCCCAAAAAAAAAACAAAAACAAAAAAAAAGAAGAAAAAAUAUUGGGAGUAAUUUUCCCUCCAUCCUACCAUCAAUCACGACGUUAAUUCAAACACGACCAUUAACGAGAAAUAUUAUAUUUCGUUUUGGAGCAUUACGAUAAAGAUUUUGAAACAUCGUAACAUAUUUUUUUUUAAUCGAUUAAUGCAAACGUUAUAACAAUGUAUGUGAUGAACAUACGCGUAUGCGUAAGAAAGUAUUUACAUACGUAACGCGAGAAAUAAGAAUUGAAUUAACGAAGGAAAAGCAAAAAAAAAAAAAGAGAAGAAACGUUAAUGAGAGUACGUACGUAUAAAGGUACGCUUCGUUUUAUUUUCUUAUUAUUAUUUUUUUUUCUGUUUGAUUGACACCUAAAUGGAGAUUAAUCGUAAACACUAUUGGAAAGACAAGUUCAGAGGGCGUAUCUUGGUUGGUUUAGUCGAAGACGAACGAUCGAGUGAACGUGUCGGAAGGUUUAUAUAUCGUCUAAUGCGUAAUUAAUAACUGCGACGGUGACGCCGACGAAGUUGAUUUAUCAUUUACGGUGUCUAUCCGAUAUAAGUCCAACGAUCAUAACACCGGGGAGCUGAUCAGAACGGCGGGAGGCCACGUAUAGCCGGUUGACUUCUGAAGUCUCGACUGCAUCGUCGGACACGAGCGUGCACGCGCGCGCGCAUUGUUACCCCGCCAGCGUCCUGUCAAACUUCCACACACGAGGCGCUACGGGGUGCAAAGGUUGCUGAAACGCAUUCAUUCGGGCAUAUUACACCUCAUCAUUAUCUUCGAAGAGCAUGGAAAAGGAGGAGAGGAAGAGAGAAGAAAGUACAAUCUUGACGACGAAUCAAGGAAAACGAAUGCAAGUUCAUCGACAUCUUUCUUAUCUGUGUCGCGUAACAUGCGAGUUUCUUUAAUGUGAUUACUAUACGUCUAAUACAUAUAUAUAUAUGUACACAUAUAUAAACACAAAACACAUAUAUACAUAGGUACGCACCUACGUAUAUUAGUUAACAUUGAUGAUGAGGGAAGUACAAGAGAGAGAGAGGGGAGGUUUAUAGUCGAGAGAGACCAGUCAUCGUAUUUAACGACGAGCGUACACGCAUGCACGUGUAUUAAUCGCCAAGAAUGGCGUUUCGGUGCGUGUAAACAGCUACCGAUAGCAUUAACGAAACUCACGUUGGAAAGCCAGCGUCGUUAUCGCCAUUACGCUCGCAUUAGAUCCAGUACUUACUCUCCCUCUUCGUUACGCACCCUACGCACGUAUGCAAGUAUAGAUAUAUGCUAGCUUGUGUUCUCUCUCUCUCUCUCUCUCUCUCUCUCGUCUCUCUUUUUAGCACAAGAGAUGUUCUCUUUAUCUCAGUCUCUCUCAUUCUAUCGAUCUAAUGAAGUAUCUCGAUGUGUGUGUGUGUGUGUGUGUGGGUGCGUAUGUGCGAGCAUAUAUAGUAGAUAAAUUUACAUAUAUACACGCCAUACAUAGAUACUCGGUGCGUUAUCGCACGAGCCGGUUUAUUUAUUAAAUACUUUUCGUCAUUCUAUUUGAUUUUGUUUUCGAGCGUUGUCCGUCCAACGGACAGACAGACAGACGGAUUAAAUAUCGCUCUAAACUCGAUAUAAAAUGGCUGUGUGUGCCAGUGACAGCUUAAUGAAAGCGUAAUGAAUAUAACGGUAAGGGCAGAAUGAGAGAGAGAUAUAGCAACGAUACUCUCUUCAUAGACAGUAAAUGAUUAUCGCCAAUAACGGAUAUUAAUAGUCUUUAAGCACCAACCGUGAAUACGUACCGGCGAUAAUUUCAUCCGAGUUAGUUAGUAAAUUAAUUAUUACGAUGUCUCUGCCGACUAUUUCUGCUUGUUAUUAAUUCGUUGUAUUCGGCGACACGCGUUGAUAGUAAAAACAAAGAAGAGAACUUUUCCUCGCGUGAGAAAGUUGAUGCGUCUCCUCUUCGAACGACUGACGAUAUAAAUCUAGCUCGGUUUCGAGUCAGAUGACUAGCCGAACGUUCCAAAGUCCUUAUACUUUUUUUUCUUUUCACUCGACAAUAACCACGA